AAUUCGUACCCGAGCUUUUCACAUCACAAGUACAAUUCUGUACCAGCUGAGCUACUGAGCAAGCUUGUUACACCAGUAAAACAUCUGGAGCUAGGAAGCAGAGGUCAACAGCAGGAGGAAUCAUCUGCUGAUCAUCUGGGAUGCAAAAUUGCCGGGCCCCUGUUUUCCCCUGCUUUUGAAACAUUUCUGCAACAGAACACAAAUGUCAAGAGACCAAGGAGGAUGUUUUCCAUCAGCUGGGACCCAAAUAUUGUAAUAUACAUGAAGGUAGACACCAUUAGGAUGUGAUUUGAGACCACAGAAGUAAUAAUGAUCCAUGUCCAUGGAGACAAUUCAAAGGAUAUUCAUUAUCCUUAUCCUGCCUGCAAGGAUUCCAUCAGCAGAGGAUGUCAAUGUAUCUACAGCUAGCUACAUUCUGCACAAGUGUGUUUGGAGGUCAGGGUGGUACGGUGGCUUAGUGGGUACCACUGUUUCCUCACUGCAAGAAUGUCCCAGGUGAGCCAGGAGGCCUGUCUGUGUGCAUGAUUUGUGUGUGGGUGCUCUGAUUUUCCCCACAGUCCAAAAAUAUGCAGCAAGGGUGAAUUGGAGACAUUGGGUAAAUUGUUGGUGUGAAUAUGUGUUUAUGAACCCUGUGAUGGACUGGCUAUCUGUCUAGGGUGUUUCCCCUGCCUGUGGUCUGAGACGUCCCCAGCGGAGGACAAGAAGUUUGGGGAACUAAUGGAUGUGAUAAGCUUUUUGACUAUUUAGGGAAUACACAUGUUUGGCUGGUGGACAGUAGUUUAAAACAGGCUAUAGUCUGCAUGGUAUGACCAGUCUAUGUCAGGCAAGCCUGCUUUAGACCUGAAAUCCAGCAAACCUGAAAAAUUCAAAAUUCAUCCAGCCCCCUACAGUUCCCCUCUGGGCUUUAUGUGUCAUUGAUUUUAGUACUGAAGCCAUGUGAUCUUCACAAAUCUUGUCAAAACACAUUUUCAUUCAUCAAGCUCUGAUUUGGGGAACUUGACACUGGCAAAUGAUGUGAAAUAAAUGGAAAUGAAAUCAUGCCCAUAGAAUUGCUGUACAUUUAACUUUGUCUAUAAAGUGACAAAAUAACAAAUUCAGAUUGCAUGCACAAAAAUAAAAGCAAAUUUGAGCUGAUGCUAGAUGGAGAUAGAGAUGCCAAAUUUUCUAUGGUUUAAGUUGAGAGUGUCCUUAAGGAGUGUGCCUUUUUACGGGCUGCCAUAGACUCCAGGUCAGAAGCAAUGACCGAUUAUUAAACGCUUACAAAAAUUAUUAAUAUCUGCAAAACCUUCUGAGGCUUAUCCAAAGGGACUAGCAUUAUGGUUUUUGAGUGUGUGGUAUUUGAUUUAAUUUUAGUUGAACUGAAACCAGUUUGUCUUGUCAGAGAUGGCAAAAUUAUGCUUCUUUCUAUGCAGAUCUCAGCAAAACAGUGUUUCUUUCUUUUCAAAGUAACAGCACAGGUAAUGUGUUGAAAUACUGUAGCUGUUGAUGGAAGGUCCCUGUAAUGGAAAGUGCCAGUUAAGGGCAGCAAGAGAUCAAUGUUUUAUGGUCAGUAAAGGUGACAGAAUGCCCCUGAGAUCUUUCUCCAGCUCCCGGGAAGUCUAUGAACACGGACAUUUCCUGUCCGGCUCUUUUUUUAACAGUCCAUGUCUCAAGACAUUCCAUAUCACAUCCCUCAUCCCACGCAAGCUCUCUAACUCCACCACCCUCAACACUUGAUUCACUGCCAAAGCAAACACUUGUCCAUGGGCGGCCAUGAGUUUGUUCCUAUGGCAACAGCAUGAGGGUCGAAGCUCUGGAGUUGAAGAUUCAGAUCAGCAAAAUAAACAAAAGGCCUGAUUCAGAAGAACCUAAGAGCUUUAGAUAUAGAAACAGCUUUCUGCAAGACACCCCACAUUUGGACAAAUUCUGCUUUCACUGAACUUAUCGCAUCAAAUAAGUGCAGUGAUAUUAACACAUCCUGUCAAUCAAGAAGUUAGAGGAACAAAGACACUGUGUAGUAUGUGUGAUUACCUCAGUGGACUGUUAAGACCAUCUUGGCGCCUCUAACAAAAAUAUACACUUUUCACAAAAAUAAUAUGCCCCGUAAAAGAUGGCCAUAAAUAGCUAUUUUAGUAAUGAGACAACCUCAUCACAAUUUCCAAAUUAUUUUAAUUUAUACAGUUGUGAUGUACAUAUGUUCUCUGUAUAAGAUGCAGGUCAUGCAGACAGACUCUUAUUGGACAUUGUUGCUAUGAUGUAUUUAUUAAAAUAUACAUUAGUUAUUAAAGUUGUAAUGCUGUAAUGUUUGCAUUUUGUCAACCAAGUUUAAAAAGGUUGUGACAUGAGAAAUCAAAUUUUCUUUGAUCUAUUGACAUAAAAGGUCUUUUUUUUACUUUAGAACAUCCUGCAAGUUUCAUAGAUUAAAAUGUCCUCCUCACUAUUAAAAAAGCAUUUAUGUAAUCACGUUCCAAAAAUGGUUCUUUUGGAAAUUGAGGGAUUCGUGACGUCACACGUUCGAAUACAUUUGGGUUGUUGACGUGACAUGGCAUUUUC